CCGGUAGGCCUGGGGGUCUCUGCCUGUGCUGAGCUGAGCCAGAGUCUGGCAGUCCCGGGACAACGCCUGCAAUCCCUGAGACACCGCGAGUGUACAGGUCCCCAGUUUGGGCUCACCCUAGGCAGGAGCUUUCCGACAAGGCCUCACUACCCACGGCGUGGUCUGGAGGAAGUUCUCGAGGGCCAGGAGGUCCACUUCCGGUCAUGUCCAGUGAAUUCUUCCUCUGCUGUGCUGAGUGUGCUGGCCUGAAAUCAAGGGUGUUGUUUCAUUCCCAACCUCCGGGCUGAUUCUGGGCACAGGAAACAGCGGCCUGAGAUCAGUUUUCAUCUUGGAAGCUACAGCAUUUCUGAGUUGGCAGGAGAUUCUGUUUCCAGUGAAUACCCCAGCAAAUUUGGCAAUGAGAGUAAGACUUCUGGAAGUUCCUGAAUCACGUAAGAGGUUCUGUGGACACACAAUAGUCAGGUGGGGCAGCCUUUUUACUGACCAGACAUAUAGUGGCUGCGAGCAGUGGGAGAGCUGGGCUACGAGCUGAGGUAAUAGCCUCCCCUCACCCCAGGC